GAGGGUAUAGCUCAGUGGUAGAGUGCACGCUUAGAGUGUACGAAGUCCUGGGUUCAAUCCCCAGUACCUUCA